rnacentral:lncRNA from 1 species
CCUUUUCUCACACAUGUAUCCCUUCCUUUCUAUCCUCUCUUCCAAAUAUGUAGUUGUAUAUACAGUAGAGUCUCACUUAUCCAACAUAAAUGGGCCGGCAGAACGUUCGAUAAGCAAAAAUGUUGGAUAAUAAGGAGGGAUUAAGGAAAGGCCUAUUAAACAUCAAAUUACGUUAUGAUUUUACAAAUUAGGCACCAAAACAUCAUGUUUUACAACCAAUCGACAGGAAAAAGCAGUUCAAUACACAGUAACGUUAUAUAGUAAUUACUGUAUUUACGAAUUUAGCACCAAAACAUUGCAAUGUAUUGAAAACAUUAACUACAAAACUUUGCCUACUAACAAAUUGACUAUAAAUAAAGAUAGAAUUGCAUAAAAUGAACUUACAGUAACAACAUUGUUGGAAAUUAAAUCCAUAAAAAGUUCAGUCCUUGCUACCUAGAGAAAUAGCUGUGGAUCCAAGUGGGAGGCAGACUGCAUUGGAUAAUCCAGAAUGUUGGAUAAGCGAAUGUUAGAUAAGCGAGACUCUACUGUGUCAUGGAACCCAGUUACAGGGCUUUGGUAAUUCAGCCCUGCAACUGGGAGUCAUAACAUAAACAAGCACCUGGCAGAAGAAGAUAGAAUACGCCUGGGAACUGGGAACCGAAAGUGUAAACAAUUAUAAUUGGUUUAGUGUGUGAAAAUGUGUGAAAAUGGUAGUAAUGUGAUAUUGGAGGUGGGGCUUGAUGAUGAUAUUUACGUGUGGUGUUACGUAGCAUCAAAAGUUAUAAAAAUAGUUGUAUGUAAACAUUAAGUCAUUCUUGACUUUUCCAAAGUCAUGUAUUCUUCAAUAAAGAUUGUGUUUGAGAGCAAAUUUCUUGUUACUACCAAUAUUUCCAUGUACAACACUUUAUGGUACGUACAUUUACCGAUCCUGCAUGCUCUGGUGUUCUGUUCUGCGGGCAUGCUUCCAAACAAAAACUUUGCUAGGUCUUACUUUCGAGGGAGGCCUUAUAUUUAGCAAUUCAGCAAAACCUCUACUAGGUCUUAUUUUCUGGGGACGUCUUAUUUUAGGGGAAACAGGGUAAUACUCCACAGGACAGAAUCAGAAUCAGACUCUAACAGAUUAGGGAGCAGGGCCAAAACUAACAAUAUGUAUUUCAACAAAUACAAAUGUAAGAUGCUACACUAGGCAGAAAAAAUGAAAUGCAAAGAUACAGAAUGGGUGACACCUGGCUUGACAACAGUACAUGUGAAAAAGAUCAUGAAGUCUUUGUGGACAACAAGUUGAACAUGAGCCAACAAUGUGAUGCAGCAGCUUAAAAAGCCAAUGGGAUUUUGGACUACAUCAAAAAUCAUAUAAUGUCUAGAUCGAGGGAAGUCAUGGUGCCUCUCUAUUCUGCUUUGGUCAGACUUCACCUGGAAUACGGUAUCCAAUUCUGGAAACUACAGUUUAAAAGAGAU